UUUUAGGUACACAUUGUUUGGUACAGUCAG
rnacentral:piRNA from 1 species